AUUGAACGCUGGCGGCAUGCCUUACACAUGCAAGUCGAACGGCAGCACGGGUGCUUGCACCUGGUGGUGAGUGGCGAACGGGUGAGUAAUAUAUCGGAACGUACCUUAUUGUGGGGGAUAACGCAGCGAAAGCUGUGCUAAUACCGCAUAGUCCCUAAGGGGGAAAGCGGGGGACCGUAAGGCCUCGCGCAAUUAGAGCGGCCGAUACCUGAUUAGCUAGUUGGUGAGGUAAAGGCUCACCAAGGCAACGAUCAGUAGCUGGUCUGAGAGGACGAUCAGCCACACUGGGACUGAGACACGGCCCAGACUCCUACGGGAGGCAGCAGUGGGGAAUUUUGGACAAUGGGGGCAACCCUGAUCCAGAAAUGCCGCGUGGGUGAAGAAGGCCUUCGGGUUGUAAAGCUCUUUUGUCAGGGAAGAAACAGCAGCUCUAACACAGUUUGCGAAUGACGGUACCUGAAGAAUAAGCACCGGCUAACUACGUGCCAGCAGCCGCCGUAA
rnacentral:rRNA from 1 species